rnacentral:lncRNA from 1 species
GUAUGUUUGAAAGUUUGCAUCAUGACAGGGAAAAAGAAAAAAAAAGAAGACUUCUUUAACAGUUACUAGUCUUUUCAAAUAAAGAGAUAAUUCUAAUGACCAGAUUGGAAGUCUAAAUCAAACGUAUCACAUUAAGGAAUGUACCUUCAAGUUUGUUGUUAAAUUUUAAGUUGGUAAGCCUGACUUGCAGGCCAUUGAGGAUCAGAAUAAAAUGUGAUUUACUAAAGGAAUUGAAUGACAGCUUAUGGUCUGCAUUCAUUGCCACUGGAUAAUUUUUUUAAGACUUUAUUUUUUAGAGUCGUUCUAGGUUCAGAGCAAAAUCAAACGGAAGGUACAGAGAUUUCUCGUCUCUCCCCUGUCUGCACACUUGCAUAGUCUACCCUAUUAUCAAUAUUCCCCACCAGAGUGGUGCACUUAUUAAACUGAUAAAUUGUAUGUUGACCCGUCAUUGUCACCCUAAAUUGGUAGUGUACACUAGGGUUCACUCUCAGUCUUGUAUAUUCUGUGGCUUUGAGUAAAUGUGUAUGACAUAUAUCCACCAUUAUGAUAUAUACAGAAUACUUUCACCUCACUAGAGAAUUCUUGCUACUUCUUUGCUCCUGUUGAAUGAGGAGGUGACUCUGGUAGCCAUGUGUGGUUCCUUUGAACCUCAUGAGUGUGAUUCCCUAUAGGUAGAGCCAACGAGGAAGACUGAGGCCAGACCUCUCAUCUCACAGGGUACCUAGCUGUCCUCUAUCCCCACACCUCAGACUCCUCAGGAGAGAUGUCUGUGGAGCUGUGGAAAGGUACCUUCUUUAUGCAAAUGAAGAGACUAUGUGCUUGGAUUUUCUCGAUGACGAUUCCUGAUUCGUGGCCCUGGCAGUCUUGGGGAAGCGUUGUCGAGUUUCUUCAAUCCAGACCUUGGGGCCUCCUUUUUCUCCACAUCACUCCCACCCAGUUGAUCGAACCACUUUCUAGGACAUAUUGGCAGACAACAAAGACAUUCCUUCAGGAAGGAUGUGCUGCCCAGCUGCAUGGAAUGAGGCCAUCAGGCAACCUCCAGCUAUCAGCUCCUCCAGCACCUGCCUCAGCUGCAGAGACCACCUUGUCCAGUUCAUGUCCUCCCUGGCAAGUCUCAUCUGGUGACAGAAGCAAUCAAGCAGGCAUAGAAAGGCCAGGCCAUUUAGACCCAACGCAGCACAAACUGGAUGGACAAUAUUCACACUAGAGCUCCCUACUAGUAUGGAGCCCACCAUACAGUUCAACUUCUUUCCCUGGUCAAUCCUGCUCCUUUCUCUUCUCUUUGGUCUCUUUAAAAUUAUGGACCCUAACCUGUAUCUCUGCAUCUUCCUCCAGAAAACCCCAUCUGUAACAGGAAACUAAAUGACACCUAGGAUUAUAGAAGGCCUGUUUUAUUUUAUUUUUUUUAAUUUUUAUUUAUUUAUGAUAGUCACAGAGAGAGAGAGAGAGAGAGAGAGAGGCAGAGACACAGGGGGAGGAAGAAGCAGGCUCCAUGCANUUAAAAUCAUGGACCCUAACCUAUAUCUCUGCAUCUUUCUCCAGAAAACCCCACCUGUAACUAUAAACACCUAGGAUUAUAGAAGGCCUGUUUUAGAAGUAUGUAUAUCUCCCUAUUGUUCUUUCUACCAAAAAGACAAUACAAAUUAAGUAAAGCCUCACCUACAUAUCCUGUCCUAUCUCCCACUCUUAUCCCUAAGACAGAGAAAGACAUGCACAGAGUUGGAUAUUCCUCCUUAGGAAUAUAUACUUUAGUGAGUGUUCAAAUGUUAGGUUUUUUUCUCUUUUUGCACCGCAGCUUGAUUUCUGCUAAAACGCAAUCUCCCCGUUUUGUUCGAGAAUGAAUUCAAAUAACCAGCUCAAAUCAUUAUCUGAGUCAGAAAGGUAUGUAUCAUAAUAAUCUCAAUGUGUGGCAAGUGGGAAAUGUUCUUGGAAUAUUCCUAGACACCCCAUUCUGAGGAGGAAGGGGACCUUUUUCUGGAAAUGUCAGACACAGGGGCUCACCCCUGAAUGACUUGGCUGUUUUGUCCUGCUUAGCACAGAGGCUUAGCAUAGUUA